AAUCCCGAAAGCUUGAUUGAACCGCAGGUUCAAUCAUAAAAGGUGGCUUUUAGCUACCACUUACAGAUGGACCCGCGGCGCAUAGCUAGUUGGUGAGGUAACGGCUCACCAAGGCGACGAUGCGUAGCCGACCUGAGAGGGUGAUCGGCCACACUGGGACUGAGACACGGCCCAGACUCCUACGGGAGGCAGCAGUAGGGAAUCUUCCGCAAUGGACGAAAGUCUGACGGAGCAACGCCGCGUGAGUGAUGAAGGUUUUCGGAUCGUAAAACUCUGUUGUUAGGGAAGAACAAGUACCGUUCGAAUAGGGCGGUACCUUGACGGUACCUAACCAGAAAGCCACGGCUAACUACGUGCCAGCAGCCGCGGUAAUACGUAGGUGGCAAGCGUUGUCCGGAAUUAUUGGGCGUAAAGCGCGCGCAGGCGGUUUCUUAAGUCUGAUGUGAAAGCCCCCGGCUCAACCGGGGAGGGUCAUUGGAAACUGGGGAACUUGAGUGCAGAAGAGGAGAGUGGAAUUCCACGUGUAGCGGUGAAAUGCGUAGAGAUGUGGAGGAACACCAGUGGCGAAAGCGACUCUCUGGUCUGUAACUGACGCUGAGGCGCGAAAGCGUGGGGAGCGAACAGGAUUAGAUACCCUGGUAGUCCACGCCGUAAACGAUGAGUGCUAAGUGUUAGAGGGUUUCCGCCCUUUAGUGCUGCAGCAAACGCAUUAAGCACUCCGCCUGGGGAGUACGGUCGCAAGACUGAAACUCAAAGGAAUUUGACGGGGGCCCGCACAA
rnacentral:rRNA from 1 species